GGGGCCGUAGCUCAGUUGGGAGAGCGCUUGCAUGGCAUGCAAGAGGUCGUGAGUUCGAGUCUCAUCGGCUCCA
rnacentral:tRNA from 1 species